rnacentral:rRNA from 1 species
AGCGAACGCUGGCGGCAGGCCUAACACAUGCAAGUCGAACGAACUCUUCGGAGUUAGUGGCGGACGGGUGAGUAACACGUGGGAACGUGCCUUUUGGUUCGGAAUAACUCAGGGAAACUUGUGCUAAUACCGAAUGUGCCCUUCGGGGGAAAGAUUUAUCGCCAUUAGAGCGGCCCGCGUCUGAUUAGCUAGUUGGUGAUGUAACGGCUCACCAAGGCGACGAUCAGUAGCUGGUCUGAGAGGAUGACCAGCCACACUGGGACUGAGACACGGCCCAGACUCCUACGGGAGGCAGCAGUGGGGAAUCUUGCGCAAUGGGCGAAAGCCUGACGCAGCCAUGCCGCGUGAAUGAUGAAGGUCUUAGGAUUGUAAAAUUCUUUCACCGGGGACGAUAAUGACGGUACCCGGAGAAGAAGCCCCGGCUAACUUCGUG